AUUGAACGCUGGCGGCAUGCCUUACACAUGCAAGUCGAACGGCAGCACAGGUGCUUGCACCUGGUGGCGAGUGGCGAACGGGUGAGUAAUACAUCGGAACAUGUCCUGUAGUGGGGGAUAGCCCGGCGAAAGCCGGAUUAAUACCGCAUACGAUCUACGGAUGAAAGCGGGGGACCUUCGGGCCUCGCGCUAUAGGGUUGGCCGAUGGCUGAUUAGCUAGUUGGUGGGGUAAAGGCCUACCAAGGCGACGAUCAGUAGCUGGUCUGAGAGGACGACCAGCCACACUGGGACUGAGACACGGCCCAGACUCCUACGGGAGGCAGCAGUGGGGAAUUUUGGACAAUGGGCGAAAGCCUGAUCCAGCAAUGCCGCGUGUGUGAAGAAGGCCUUCGGGUUGUAAAGCACUUUUGUCCGGAAAGAAAUCCUUGGCCCUAAUACGGUCGGGGGAUGACGGUACCGGAAGAAUAAGCACCGGCUAGCUACGUG
rnacentral:rRNA from 1 species